AGUAACGGCGAGUGAAGCGGCAACAGCUCAAAUUUGAAAUCUGGCUCUUUCAGGGUCCGAGUUGUAAUUUGCAGAGGGCGCUUUGGCUUUGGCAGCGGUCCAAGUUCCUUGGAACAGGACGUCACAGAGGGUGAGAAUCCCGUACGUGGUCGCUAGCUAUUGCCGUGUAAAGCCCCUUCGACGAGUCGAGUUGUUUGGGAAUGCAGCUCUAAAUGGGAGGUAAAUUUCUUCUAAAGCUAAAUACUGGCCAGAGACCGAUAGCGCACAAGUAGAGUGAUCGAAAGAUGAAAAGCACUUUGGAAAGAGAGUCAAACAGCACGUGAAAUUGUUGAAAGGGAAGCGCUUGCAGCCAGACUUGCUUGCAGUUGCUCAUCCGGACUUUUGUCCGGUGCACUCUUCUGCAGGCAGGCCAGCAUCAGUUUGGGCGGUGGGAUAAAGGUCUCUGUCACGUACCUCUCUUCGGGGAGGCCUUAUAGGGGAGACGACAUACCACCAGCCUGGACUGAGGUCCGCGCAUUUGCUAGGAUGCUGGCGUAAUGGCUGUAAGCGGCCCGUCUUGAAACACGGACCAAGGAGUCUAACAUCUAUGCGAGUGUUUGGGUGUCAAGCCCGAACGCGUAAUGAAAGUGAACGGAGGUGGGAACCCGCAAGGGUGCACCAUCGACCGAUCCUGAUGUCUUCGGAAGGAUUUGAGUAAGAGCAUGGCUGUUGGGACCCGAAAGAUGGUGAACUAUGCUUGAAUAGGGUGAAGCCAGAGGAAACUCUGGUGGAGGCUCGCAGCGGUUCUGACGUGCAAAUCGAUCGUCAAA
rnacentral:rRNA from 2 species